UACAGGGGGGGCAAGCGUUGUUCGGAAUUACUGGGCGUAAAGGGUUCGUAGGUGGCCAACUAAGUCAGACGUGAAAUCCCUCAGCUUAACUGGGGAACUGCGUCUGAUACUGGAUGGCUUGAGUGUAGGAGAGGAAUGCGGAAUUCCAGGUGUAGCGGUGAAAUGCGUAGAUAUCUGGAGGAACACCGGCGGCGAAGGCGGCAUUCUGGACUACAACUGACACUGAGGAACGAAAGCCAGGGGAGCAAACGGG
rnacentral:rRNA from 1 species